rnacentral:lncRNA from 1 species
AUCAAUUUAUUGCAAUUAAUGUUCAUAUUUUCAAUUUUUUUGAUAUUCCAUAUUUGAAAAAAAACUCAUAAAUCUGGGAACUCAUUAAGUGAGAACUUGUAAAAUGAAUGUCUUCCUAUAUGUAUCGUCAAUGGCCAUCAGAGGGGAGCAAGAGAAGUUGUGUGCUGGGCCUCACAGUUUUAUGGGUCUCAUUUUAAAAUUCAAUAUGUACAAUAUAAAAAUAUUUUUAUACUGUUCAGUUUCAGUGUUUGUCAAAUUUGAAAUUCUCUGUCAAUGUUUUUGCUUUUCUUGUACCUUUAUAUAUUAUAUUGCUGCUAAUGUUAAAGCAUGCAAAACUUCUGUG